CCUACGGGAGGCAGCAGUAGGGAAUCUUCCACAAUGGGCGAAAGCCUGAUGGAGCAACGCCGCGUGGGUGAAGAAGGUCUUCGGAUCGUAAAACCCUGUUGUUAGAGAAGAAAGUGCGUGAGAGUAACUGUUCACGUUUCGACGGUAUCUAACCAGAAAGCCACGGCUAACUACGUGCCAGCAGCCGCGGUAAUACGUAGGUGGCAAGCGUUAUCCGGAUUUAUUGGGCGUAAAGGGAACGCAGGCGGUCUUUUAAGUCUGAUGUGAAAGCCUUCGGCUUAACCGGAGUAGUGCAUUGGAAACUGGGAGACGUGAGUGCAGAAGAGGAGAGUGGAACUCGAUGGGUAGCGGUGAAAUGCGUAGAUAUAUGGAAGAACACCAGUGGCGAAAGCGGCUCUCUGGUCUGUAACUGACGCUGAGGUUCGAAAGCGUGGGUAGCAAACAGGAUUAGAUACCCCGGUAGUC
rnacentral:rRNA from 1 species